AUCUUGUAAAGGAGUAGGAAUGGAUUGUGCUGUUUCACUUUUCUGUCCUUUUCUCUCUGGCUAAGAAUAUGGAAUGGUUUAGGGGGAGAUAUUUUCUUCUGUGUGUUAACAGAGUUUUUAAGUUUCUGCAGAAAUGAAAUGGGACGGAGAAAAGGAUUUGGCUACAUUUUUAUGUGAUUUCAUUAAGUUGUUUAUGUGCUCUGCCUUUGGAAAGAGAGACAAAGCAUGGAGGACACAAGAACGGGAGGAAAGGCGGACUCUCAGGAACUUCAUUCUUCACGUGGUUUAUGGUGAUUGCAUUGCUGGGCGUCUGGACGUCUGUAGCUGUCGUUUGGUUUGAUCUUGUUGACUAUGAGGAAGUUCUAGGAAAACUAGGAAUCUAUGAUGCUGAUGGUGAUGGAGAUUUUGAUGUGGAUGAUGCCAAAGUUUUAUUAGGUAAUUUGCAUUGUAUAUAGAUGAUCGUCUCAAAAUUUCACAAUGAGAGACUGAUGAAAUUGACAUAAAUCAAUCAGCAUGAACACUUGAAUUAAUCCAGAGGACUACUUAAG
rnacentral:sRNA from 1 species